UGAAUAUAAUAAUGUGGGAUAUUGUUAUUUAAAUAAUAUAUUUUAAGAAUUAGUUUCAGUUUUUCCUUCAAUUUUGAAUUCUAAUGAUAUGUUUCUCAUCUUUACAGGAUCAGAAAUCAAAUAGCUCGUGGAGGUUUGUUGAAAAUAUAACUGAAAAACAGAAAUCUGAAAAAAUAAAGAAGAAUAACUAAUGAUCCCGGAAGUUAACAAAAACGGAAUACAAUUUUUGAAUUAUUUUCUUCCUGAAAUGGUGAGUGAUAAUAAUAUUAUUCAAUCUUAUUUUCAUGUAUCUUAUCAUCAAUGAAGGAUAAUAAGCCUAAUUUAAUUUAUAGGCCUAUUUAUAACAAAGGCAGUAUCAUAUUAUAAUAGUCUUCAAAUUAUACACUACGGUAGUCGUCUCAAGAAUAGUACA